AUAGAACACACUGCAGACAGACAUCUGAGGACUUUUAUUUCUCACAGAAUACACCAGAGCUGGAUGGCUGAGAAGAGAAAGUGCUAAAGGUUGACUUCAAUGGGAAUGUUCCCUGCCGAAGCUGAAGAUUUGACCCAGAAAGGUGACCAGUUCCUAGAAGAAGAAACAUGGAGAAAUGCACUACCCACGAGGAAGAAACAUC